rnacentral:rRNA from 1 species
GUCGAACGAAGCGCUCAAAUGGAUUUCUUCGGAUUGAAGUUUUUGUGACUGAGUGGCGGACGGGUGAGUAACGCGUGGGUAACCUGCCUCAUACAGGGGGAUAACAGUUAGAAAUGACUGCUAAUACCGCAUAAGCGCACAGUGCUGCAUGGCACAGUGUGAAAAACUCCGGUGGUAUGAGAUGGACCCGCGUCUGAUUAGCUAGUUGGUGGGGUAACGGCCUACCAAGGCGACGAUCAGUAGCCGGCCUGAGAGGGUGAACGGCCACAUUGGGACUGAGACACGGCCCAAACUCCUACGGGAGGCAGCAGUGGGGAAUAUUGCACAAUGGGGGAAACCCUGAUGCAGCGACGCCGCGUGAGCGAAGAAGUAUUUCGGUAUGUAAAGCUCUAUCAGCAGGGAAGAAAAUGACGGUACCUGACUAAGAAGCACCGGCUAAAUACGUGCCAGCAGCCGCGGUAAUACGUAUGGUGCAAGCGUUAUCCGGAUUUACUGGGUGUAAAGGGAGCGUAGACGGUUGUGUAAGUCUGAUGUGAAAGCCCGGGGCUCAACCCCGGGACUGCAUUGGAAACUAUGUAACUAGAGUGUCGGAGAGGUAAGCGGAAUUCCUAGUGUAGCGGUGAAAUGCGUAGAUAUUAGGAGGAACACCAGUGGCGAAGGCGGCUUACUGGACGAUCACUGACGUUGAGGCUCGAAAGCGUGGGGAGCAAACAGG